rnacentral:lncRNA from 1 species
ACCCGCGUGAGGUCCCUACAAACACUGUGUCAUUCCACCCGUGUGAGGUCCCUACAAACACUGUGUCAUUCCACCCGCCUGAGGUCCCUACAAACACUGUCAUUCCACCCGCGUGAGGUCCCUACACUGUGUCAUCCUACCCGCCUGAGGUCCCUACAAACACUGUGUCAUUCCACCUGCCUGAGGUCCCUACAAACACUGUCACUCCACCCGCGUUAGGUCCCUACAAACACUGUCAUUCCACCCGCCUGAGGUCCCUACAAACACUGUCAUUCCACCCGACUGAGGUCCCUACAAACACUGUCAUUCCACCCGACUGAGGUCCCUACACUGUGUCAUUCCACCUGCGUGAGGUCCCUACACUGUGUCAUCCCACCCGCCUGAGGUCCCUACACUGUGUCAUUCCACCUGCCUGAGGUCCCUACAAACACUGUGUCAUUCCACCCGCCUGAGGUCCCUACAAACACUGUGUCAUUCCACCCGCCUGAGGUCCCUACACUGUGUCAUUCCACCCACCUGAGGUCCCUACAAACGCUGUGUCAUUCCACCCGCCUGAGGUCCCUACACUGUGUCAUUCCACCCACGUGAGGUCCCUGCAAACACUGUGUCAUUCCACCCGUGUGAGGUCCCUACAAACACUGUGUCAUUCCACCCGCCUGAGGUCCCUACACUGUGUCAUUCCACCCACGUGAGGUCCCUACACUGUGUCAUUCCACCCACCUGAGGUCCCUACACUGUGUCAUUCCACCCACCUGAGGUCCCUACAAACGCUGUGUCAUUCCACCCGCCUGAGGUCCCUACAAACGUUGUGUCAUUCCACCUGCGUGAGGUCCCUACAAACACUGUCAUUCCACCCGCCUGAGGUCCCUACAAACACUGUCAUUCCACCCGACUGAGGUCCCUACAAACACUGUGUCAUUCCACCUGCGUGAGGUCCCUACACUGUGUCAUUCCACCCGCCUGAGGUCCCUACACUGUGUCAUUCCGCCUGCCUGAGGUCCCUACAAACACUAUGUCAUUCCACCUGCCUGAGGUCCCUACAAACACUGUGUCAUUCCACCCGCCUGAGGUCCCUACAAACGCUGUGUCAUUCCACCCGCCUGAGGUCCCUAGACUGGGCAAAUUCAGAGACAGAAAGUAGAAUGGUGGUCGCCAGGGGCCGGGGAAGGGGAGAAGGGGAGUUAUUGUUUAAUAGGACAAAGUUGUGUUGGUAAUGAGGAAGUUGUUUUGGGAACAGGUAGUGGUGAUAGCUACACAACACUGUAAGUGCAUUUACCACCACGCAACUGUACACUUAUGAACGGCUAAAAUGAUAAAUAUUAUGCCAUGUAUAUUUUACCACAAUUAAAAAAAAUUCCUAGACCUCAAAAAAAAAAAAAAAAUCCCAAUCUAUGCCAACCUGGGUGUCACAUUUCUCUCUGUAGGUCAAGUGAAACAUGGCCCAAACCACCCUAAGUUGCUGACAUAUAGAUGCGAACUCCACAGAGCCCGCCUCUGGGUGCUGUGUGUGCGCCUCCACCACAGCCUGUCCUGCGGGGAACACGGAGGUUAUCAGGGCGCGUGGCCAGAGAAAGGUUCCAUCUACUUUUUAAAUAACCCAGCAGCAGACAUUUAAUGGAUUUCUAUGGUUACUAUUUUACCUACGACAUAUUUGACUGUGAUCAGUACUUUAGGGCGUACACAGAAAGCCGUAUGCUGAUACCUUCAUAAUCCAAAUAGAUUACGCCUUUUACUACUGAAUUCUUUAAUGAACAGUAAGCAAAUUGAGAAUGGUUAAAGUAAAAACUUUCUCAUUCUCUCCAUUUUAAGAUCACUAUUACACACCUGAACUUAACCGGGGCUCUAUGGCAGAGGAGAUUAAUAAUUUUGGUUAAUACUACUUCAACGAUUAUCUAAUAUUUCAGAUGCCUUUAACAACAUCUAUCUGUUACCAUAAACGAAGUCAACAUCUAAGAAAUGUGACCUGUGACACUGAACAGAUCUCUAGGGUCUGACAAAGUUGCAGGGAGCUGGAGAAGCGCGGCCACGGCAGAGCUGCAAUUCCCCAUCGGCCUCUGUCUGAUAAAAGGCAACCCAUGGAUCUAUUUGGAUAAACACUCAAGAGCAGGGACAGGCUAUGAACCAAUUUCACAGACAGUGCCUCCAGUGAGGAAGGAGUGCGGGCAACGGAGUUGGGGAGUUAAAACGGAGAUGGACAGCCUCAACAUGACCGUAGCCUUCAUCUCUUCAAAAACCCAAAACAAGAUGGACCGUUGUUAAGUGUGGAGUAUGUGGGUGUUUAUUUAUUUUAUGCAAAUAAUACAUAAUUAUUUAUUCUAAAAGCAACCUAUCCCAAUGUGAGGUGGCAAACAACGGAGCCUCCCGUACACAGGUUACUGCAAAGGACGGGAGCAAAGCUGAGACGCAGCCUUCAAUGCCUACGAAAGCCAGGAACGUUUACAAACGCACUGGUACACGUAAGGCACGAAUCCCCCCUUUUCAAUCAUUAUUACUAGCUGAGUUUUUGUUUUGCUUUCUUUUAAAUCUAGUUAUGUACUAGAGCUUUUGUAAUGAAUACUCUUUUAGGGAUACUACUUCGCCAUUCUAGAUUCUGGAACAGAACUAUUGAAAUUAAAAAAAAAAAAUUUAAGGUAUUUUCAAACAUGACAAAAUGGCAGCCUAAAACCAUUAAAAUUCCAGAAAACCGGAGCACAACAGAAGGUGGGGUGCUAAGCAGUGCUGAGUCACUAUUAGGGGUGCACGGAGAGAAAAACCUUCCUCCUUCGAGUUGCUAGAACUCCCUCUUUACCUUUUCUUAAGGGCACUUUUCUCCUUAUACCUACAAACAAUGCAUUCUUGGUGUGGAACAUAAAAUAAUACAGAAAUGUGCAGAAUAAAAGCCAAAGUCUCUGUUCAGUGAGGCGUGACCACCCUUUCCCCACAGGCACCCCCGAUGUCACCCCUGGAUAUCUGCUUUCCAGAGCAGCAUUUACAACCACACUCAGCUUCGCCUGGGGUCACCGUUCUUCUGCAAAAGCUGCUGUUUUCACCCAAUGUGUCACAGACUGCUCUCCGAGGGGCCCAGAACACUCUUACUCCACAAAGUGUGUGUUCUAACACAUGUAACCGCCUCACUACUUUUAGGCAUUUAGUGUUUUCAACGUUGUAUCACUGCAGUGCACAUCUUUCUGAAAUGCUGGCCUAUUUCCUGUAGGAUUCCUACAAGUGGAACCUUGGGGUCCUAACCCUUGUGUUAAGUUUGAGAGAGAAAUGUCAAAUUACCCUCCAAAAAAUGAGUGUACAGACACUCCUUCCAGAAAUGACUAGGAAAAAUGGAACAUUAUUAUUGCUUUAAUUAGAAUGUCUUUGCUUAUUUGAGACAGGGUCCACUCUGUUCCCAGGCUGGAAUGCAGUGGUGUGAUCACAGCUCACAGCAGCCUUGACCUCCUGGGCUCAAGGGAUCCUCCUGCCUUGGCCUCCCAAAGUGCUGGGAUUACAGGUGUGAGGCCGGUCAUAUCUUUGCUCAUUAAUACCAUUUCUAUGAUGAUUAAUGUUAACUCUUUUACUCACCACCCACUUAAAACAAACCAGCCAUUAGAUGCGGUUAAACAUGCAGACCUAUUGUCUGUGUUUUUUUCACUCAAAUGUUGCUAAUUAUCAGCAAACCUGCUGCCCCUUUCAGGCAGGUAUGGUGACUCACCCAAGAAUUC